CGGCCCGGGAUUGGCUGGCUGAAACAUGGCGGAGCGCAGCGGGGCGAAGCGGCUACGGGAGGGAAAAGAAGAAAAGAUGGAUUGGCGCAAAUGGAAACAAGAAA